AUGUGGUGGCCUGAUUUCAUCAACGGCAUCCUUCAUGAGUUGGGUGUGGUUCGAGGGCGGCAUGUUUACUGUUCCAGGUGCGGAGGGUUCCAGCCGCUGGUUCGAGGGGAUUGGGGUCCCUGUCUCCAUGCCGGCGGUAGGCCUUCGGCGUGGCAAUUUCCUAUCCUUGACCAGGGGGCAUGGUGUCGCAUCCUUUUGGCCUUCUCUGAGGUUUCAGCGUCUGUGUCCGAUAACUCUCGUUCGGUGUUUUGCCUUGCUGCUGCCGACGUCGGUGUUUUGGUGGUCGGUUCUCCGUUUCAUGAGGGUCUGUCCCUUGUGCCUCUCCUUUGGCAGCCGGGGCACUCUGAUUUGGAUUCUAGGGUGAAUCACUCCGCCGGCCGCCGGUGCGGCACCUGUCGAACCCGGGUGGUAGGGUAG
rnacentral:rRNA from 1 species